UAGAGUUUGAUCCUGGCUCAGGACUAACGCUGGCGGCGUGCUUAACACAUGCAAGUCAAGGGGGCCCAGCAAUGGGCAACCGGCGGACGGGUGCGUAACACGUGAGCAACCUACCGAACUGUGGGGGAUAGCCGGCCUAACGGCCGAAUAAUACCGCAUACGCUUUCAUUGAGGCAUUUCAGUGAAAGGAAACCUACGGGACAGAUCGAGGGGCUCGCGGCCUAUCAGCUAGUUGGCGAGGUAACGGCUCACCAAGGCGACGACGGGUAGCUGGUCUGAGAGGAUGGCCAGCCACAUUGGGACUGAGAUACGGCCCAGACUCCUACGGGAGGCAGCAGUGGGGAAUCUUGCGCAAUGGCCUAACGGCUGACGCAGCGACGCCGCGUGUGGGAUGAAGCUCUUCGGAGUGUAAACCACUGUUGCCCGGGACGAAUAGCUCGAUUAAUCGAGCCUGACGGUACCGGGUGAGGAAGCACCGGCUAACUCCGUGCCAGCAGCCGCGGUAAUGCGGGGGGUGCGAGCGUUGUCCGGAAUCACUGGGCGUAAAGGGCGCGUACGUGGUUUGAUAAGGGUGUGGUGAAAGUCCGGGGCUCAACCCCGGAUCUGCCGUGCCGACUGUCAAACUCCAUGGCUGUAGAGGUAGACAGAAUUCCGGGUGUAUCGGUGGAAUGCGUAGAGAUCAGGAGGAAGACCGGUGGCGAAUGCGGUCUGCUGGGCAGUUUCUGACACUGAUGCGCGACAGCGUCGGGUAGCAUACACGAUUAGAUACGCUGGUAGUCACACCGUAAACGAUGGGUACUAGGUGCCUGGGGGAGCGACCCUCUGGGUGCCGGCGCUACGCAGAACGUAGCAUGCUGGUGAGUACGACCGCAAGAUGGAAACUCAAGGAAUUGACGAGGGGCCCGCUACAAGCCACUGGAAUU
rnacentral:rRNA from 1 species